rnacentral:rRNA from 1 species
AGACUGCCGGUGAUAAGCCGGAGGAAGGCGGGGAUGACGUCAAGUCCUCAUGGCCCUUACAUCCCGGGCUACACACGUGCUACAAUGGCAGGUACAGAGGGCUGCGAAGCCGCGAGGUGGAGCGAAUCCCAGAAAACCUGUCUCAGUCCGGAUUGAAGUCUGCAACUCGACUUCAUGAAGGCGGAAUCGCUAGUAACCGCGAAUCAGCAGGUCCGCGGUCCGAAUACGUUCCGGGCCUU